AAAUUGAGCAAUUCACAAUAGAAUGGAUAUGGCAGCAGCUUCAAAAUUUACAAAAUAGUUGAUUAUGAUCACGUGCUACACCCUCGACUUGCUGAUGGGGCAGCGUGGAUUCAACCAGGAAUGUCCUCCUUCCUGAAUGGAUGAUGAUGGGGCAAACACAGCGUUCCGGUCACUAGACAUGUACCUCCUAUGCAGGUGGGCACACAAGACAGCUGACUAAGGGAAGAAAUGCAUGAGAAAUCUGCAAAGAGGGAAAGCCAAGAGUACCUGUAGUGUUCUGGAGGUAGCUGCACACUGACAUCCCUUCACACCCAUUGGCCUCUUGUGAAAGAGAAGGCAAUGCAUUGCCGUCGGAGACAAAGCCCAGCUGAAGAGAGGCAGUGCACUUGCUGAUGGCUUAAUGUUGCCGCUGACAUCCUUACAAAGGGAAGGAUAAUGAGCAGACUACAUCUCCUCUCCCAACCCAGCCUUCUGAGUCCUAAAUGAAGCAGAUACUAAAUGAAAAGCAGGCAGAAAUCAGCAAUGCAUCCAGCUUCUGUUGAGGGAGAUUCAGUGGAAUGAUUUUUAUAUUUUCAUGAAGAAAUUACAGUUGAAUAUUAAAACCUGGUAUUUCAGUUUAUCUGGUCUGACUCCCAUCUAACUAACCAACGUAGCCAUGGAUUUUGUAAAACUCACUUAACAAAUCAUCUUAAUUGGUACCAAAAUAGUGAUGGCUAUGGAAAUAUUGGCAUUUCUAUGUGCAUAACUGAUGUUUUUAUGAGGAUAAGAGGGAGAGAAGAAUCACAUUUCAAAGAAGCUUCUACUGAAAUAAACUAAACCAGAAGAACUAAUUGUGGCAUACUUAACAGCUUUGAGCUUUAUGUGUACACUACCUAUGUUUCCUGUUCAGCAAGUGAACGUCCCCAGGCUGGUAGGGGCAAUGUGAAGAUGAAUCUUAUAUCUCCAAUUUCUCGAAGAACAUUUAUUCAUCUUCCUGGAAUUCACUCAUUGCCAGUUCUUUUAGAAAUACUGACACAGUUAAUAGUGUCUAAUGUCGUGGACGACUGCCUUCCACCAAUGUCGUGACUUCCCACCCAAGAACCAAUGAUUUCUUUCUCUGUGAUUCAGCUCUCCACUGACCCUCAUGGGCAAGAGUGGGGUUUCAGCAGUUAUUCUUUCAACCUCUAUUGAUCAAUCGCACGAUAUAAGCCAGACACAGUUCUGGGCAGCAGGAUACAAUAGUGAACAAGACAACCCCAAAUCCCUGCUCUUGUGGAACUGACAUUUUCUCAUGGUGGGUGGGAGUUGGGGAAGAAUGAGAGAUGUUAAACGCAAAAGCAAAAUAAAAGAAAUUUUAAGAUCAUGUGAUACGGAGUGGCUGGCUGGUCAGGGAUAGCCUCUCCAGGACUGGGACAUUCAUGGGAGUUGACAUGUGAAUUAUGAGAAGAAGCCGACAAUGCCAAGAUCACAUGGCAACAUGUUUCAUGCAAAAGAAACAGCCAGCAUGAAGGCUGUGAGCUGGGAACAAGACCGGCUCAGGUCAAGGGACAGACAAAAAGGCCAACAAGGCUGAAAAAUAAUAAGGAAGAGGAGA